rnacentral:rRNA from 1 species
GACGAACGCUGGCGGCGUGCUUAACACAUGCAAGUCGAACGGAAAGGCCCUGCUUUUGUGGGGUGCUCGAGUGGCGAACGGGUGAGUAACACGCGAGUAACCUGCCCUUGACUUUGGGAUAACUUCAGGAAACUGGGGCUAAUACCGGAUAGGAGCUCCUGCUGCAUGGUGGGGGUUGGAAAGUUUCGGCGGUUGGGGAUGGACUCGCGGCUUAUCAGCUUGUUGGUGGGGUAGUGGCUUACCAAGGCUUUGACGGGUAGCCGGCCUGGGAGGGUGACCGGCCACAUUGGGACUGCGAUACGGCCCAGACUCCUACGGGAGGCAGCGGUGGGGAAUAUUGCGCAAUGGGCGGAAGCCGGAUGCAGCGACGCCGCGUGCGGGAUGACGGCCUUCGGGUUGUAAACCGCUUUCGCCGGUGACGAAGCGUGAGUGACGGUAAUGGGUAAAGAAGCACCGGCUAACUACGUG